GAGUUUGAUCGUGGCUCAGGACGAACGCUGGCGGCGUGCCUAAUACAUGCAAGUCGAGCGAGGGUUUUUAAGACCCUAGCGGCGGACGGGUGAGUAACACGUAGGCAACCUGCCUCUCAGACCGGGAUAACAUAGGGAAACUUAUGCUAAUACCGGAUAGGUUUUUGGAUUGCAUGAUCCGAAAGAAAAGAUGGCUUUUUGCUAUCACUGGGAGAUGGGCCUGCGGCGCAUUAGCUAGUUGGUGGGGUAACGGCCUACCAAGCGACGAUGCGUAGCCGACCUGAGAGGGUGACCGGCCACACUGGGACUGAGACACGGCCCAGACUCCUACGGGAGGCAGCAGUAGGGAAUUUUCCACAAUGGACGAAAGUCUGAUGGAGCAACG
rnacentral:rRNA from 1 species